UACAGAGGUCUCAAGCGUUGUUCGGAUUCAUUGGGCGUAAAGGGUGUGUAGGUGGCGCCGUAAGUCGGGUGUGAAAUUUCGGAGCUUAACUCCGAAACUGCAUUCGAUACUGCGGUGCUUGAGGACUGGAGAGGAGACUGGAAUUCAUGGUGUAGCAGUGAAAUGCGUAGAGAUCAUGAGGAAGACCAGUGGCGAAGGCGGGUCUCUGGACAGAUCCUGACACUGAGACACGAAGGCCAGGGGAGCAAACGGG
rnacentral:rRNA from 1 species